AGCAAAAUCUUUCUCCAAAGGUUUGAAUUUCUUUUCUAUUAAUAAUUCCAUGUUAUUCAAAGGCAUAAAAAGAAAAAAAGAAUAAAAAGAAAAGACUAUGUUAUUUUUUACUAUUCAAAGCAUGAAAACUGUAUAAUUCUAAUAUCUAGUUUUCAGUUCAAUCUUGCUUUAUUUAUGGGCCUAUGCCUAUGUGCUAUCGUUUUCUCCCCCGACAUUGGUAUGAAAUUUUGUGCUAUGGCAUGUUUAACUGUAACCCGUACUAAUUAUUUUUCUCACUCUAGUUG
rnacentral:misc_RNA from 1 species